UGGAAGACAAGAGGCCAUUUGUUUCCUGUACAUCAAUCACCAUGGACCCGAGAUCUCAGGGUAUGCUCAUCAGAAGGGAGGCUGCACGAGCCCUGCUCCUAAAUUCUUGGAGAACACUCAAACAAGUCACCUAACUGCAAGAGCCCAAUUUAUCAGACUCUAUAGUGGAUAGAGGUGUGAAGAAAAAGCCAGA